rnacentral:lncRNA from 1 species
GAAGCAGUUUUGCAGCUGACAGUUACAGUGGCAGUUACUUCUUUUUAUGCAGUGACCCCAUUCCCACCAGUUGUUCUUCAGGAUGGAACAAUCAGAACAACACGAGCAUCUUUCUGCCUGAUAGCAAAACUUGCAGAGACUCAGACUGCCAGCUGGAGAGGCUUAAGCUUUGUAGCAGUUUAUUCAAAGGACAUCGGUCAGAGUACCCUGAAAGGGGAUGGGGAAGUACUGAAGACAGAAUAUUGAGGAAAAAAAUUUAAAUACCAUGUCUGUCUUUGUAUAUAGAAAUAUCAAAGAAGGACUUUCUCCUGCAACAGAAAAUGAUUUGAAGAAUAGGAUAUAGUCUGAAAUCAGCAGAUCAAACCUUGGACGACUGGUGCCGUCUCCUAAGUUCUGCACUGAAAGAGGAAGAGGUUUACAGUCAGCAUUUGUGCAGUCAACACAAGGCAUCUCCAGAUCUUUAAGGAUAGACUGUCUUCUGCAAGCUCUGCCUUGAGUGUAAAACCUCUGAUUUUAUUCAGAUCUUCCUAAGAUGAUGAUGGAUGUUCUUUAAAGCUUUUGUGAGGACACUUCUACUUCACUUAUGUUGACAGAUGAUGUGCGUCAUAAAGGCUCCUUCUGUUAAUGGGUCUUGCUGUUGCCAUUUGGGGAUCAUGCUGCUUAAAGCAAACUAACAUUUUGCUGGUGAAUUGGUCCAAUGUUGGUCAGAGUGAAGAAUGCCACCUGCUGAAUCAAGGAGUUAAACCUUGUUUUCUCUACUGGACCGGGAUUGUGUAUCCAGGCUGGAGAACUGCUUCAAAAGAAUGUAGAUAAUUCCAGUUUUGUCUUCAGUUGCUAAAAGCAAAUUGCUCUUAGCUUUUCGUGAUCAUCUUUUUGGCUUAUUUUCCGUUCUCUGAGAUAAAUAUAUAUUAAGCUAACAUCUGCCUAAGUGGGAAGGGAGAGAUUAUCAGAAUCAGCACCUUCUCUUUGAGGGGAUGAGACUAUAUAAACAGCCACGUGAUCUGAAUUCCUGGAUUUCACUUCGAUGUAUAUUGCAGUGUGACUGAAGAGCCAGUACUGCUGAAAGGAUAAGAUGAUGAGGUCAGUGGCUACUCUUGUUACAGGAAUUGAAUGAGAAUCAGCAGUAUUUGCAGGUUUGGAGCUGCUUGGGCAUGGGGUGUCCUGGAUAAACUGUGAUAAUGUUGACUUUCCCUUGUUUUACUUUUCUAGUGCUGUGCUCCAAACAUUAAAGUGAGGGUUGUGACUCCAAUGGAGUUUAGAUGAUAACUAUGUGUCAGGUAAAAUAUAUUUUCUUUACAGAGUUUGUAUCCUGCUACUUAAGUCACAUACAUUUGUUAGAGCUGUUAAUUGUCUUUGUGCAGUGGUUCAGCUCUGCCAUUGUUAGAUGGCUCUUCAUAAGGCCACUGCAGGAACUGUGGCCUUGAGAUGAUGCACAGUGACCCUGAGGGACUGGCAGCGUACUCACGGGGCCAGACACCCACUGUUCUGCUGAAGCAGUAACCUGCUUGCUUGGAAAUUACUUCUAGUCCCUUCCAAAGCAUUACUUCAAGUUGUUGCUUAGAUUUCUUUCAAGUGAGUUUUGUAGAACUUCUCUGCUAGUUUGAGAUUUUCAGAUACACUUCUCAUUUGUCCAAGGCAUCAGGAAAACUUGACUGUAUACAGCAUUACUGCAGUGAACUGGAGCAUUAGUUUGCCUUCACCAAAGCCUGUCAAGCUUAUAGAAGUUUUGCUACAGUGAUUGUGUAUAGUAAGUUUGCUAGUUUCCAAUGAAGAAAAGACUCAAUAUGUAGGGGGAUGUGUGCUGCCGCUUUAACAGGAGUAUAUUAGGAUUGGUGGCAGCUGCUGCUCAGUACUAAGAAUGUCCUUCUGGCUGUAUGCUUGCCCAGACAUAGGAAGAGGGUGAGGCCUCUUGUCCACUUGUACUUAAAAGUCAAAUUAGCCAACCUCCCACCAUUGCGGAGUGAAAGGAGGCUGCCUGCAGGUUGGUGAGGCUUGUUCUCUACAUUUCCUGCAGCAUCUGGGACUCAUUCAUCUGUGCUUAUGCAUAAGGUUCAGUGGAGUGUCAGUAUAAGGUAGCUCAGUCACGUACCACAGCAUGGUGUGUGUAUACAGGGAACAAAUCUGUACAGCACCUUCUGAAGUACUGUUCAAGAGUGAUGGUGUUCCAGUGUGCAUGCUUCCAUGUGUUUUAUGAUGAUUGUAAAUAUGAGAGUGAUAUUUGUUUUUUGGCAUAUUGUCUUUAUGCAGAG